AAAUGUUGUUUGAACCGAAUACAUGUAUUAAAUCGUAAUAUAUACUACAUAAGCUUAGAAUAGAUAUCCAACUAGUGGAAUGUAGACCUGCGUUUUUGUACAUUAGUCAACUUGUACCAUCGAAAAUUUAUCGAAACAAACACAAAAUGCCAUUAUCACAGGAUGAGGGGAGAAAGAAAAGAGAAGAAUCACAUGUAUCUAGCAGCAAUUGGAUUUCAACUAAAUAUCAAUAUUAUAUCAUCUAACCUCGCUCUCUGUUUUCCCCGUUGAGGCAUGCGAAUCAUAGUGCUAUAUCUUAAAU
rnacentral:misc_RNA from 1 species